CCUACGGGAGUCAGCAGUGAGGAAUAUUGUUCAAUGGACGCAAGUCUGAACCAGCCAUGCCGCGUGCAGGAAGACGGCUCUAUGAGUUGUAAACUGCUUUUGUACGAGGGUAAACGCAGAUACGCGUAUCUGUCUGAAAGUAUCGUACGAAUAAGGAUCGGCUAACUCCGUUCCAGCAGCCGCGGUAAUACCGAGGAUUCAAGCGUUCUCCGGAUUUAUUGGGUUUAAAGGGUGCGUAGGCGGUCGGAUAAGUUAGAGGUGAAAUCUCGAGGCUCAACUUCGGAAUUGCCUUUGAUACUGUUCGGCGAGAGAGUAGUUGCGGUAGGCGGAAGGUAUGGUGUAGCGGUGAAAUGCUUAGAGAUCAUACAGAACACCGAUUGCGAAGGCAGCUUACCAAGCUACUUCUGACGUUGAGGCACGAAAGCGUGGGGAGCAAACAGGAUUAGAUACCCUAGUAGUC
rnacentral:rRNA from 1 species